ACAGGCCUCCCCUGGGCCGGCGGAGCCGCUCUCACCUUCCACACUUCGCCGCCCUCCUGCGCUCAGGCAGCAUUCUGGACACGGGAUGUUGUGAACCAAGAGUACAUCACACUCCCCUACCACACUCCCUCCAUCCUGCCUUCUGCUCCUACCACAUCAUCUGAAAAUUUUGGGGGUCUGUGGACCAGAAGAUGGAUCUCAUAUUUCCAGUUGUCUGUCGCUUUUGUUGAAGUUACCUAUCAAACAUAUACAACUGGUUUAGUAGGAAAACCAUAUUAAAUAAUAUGCAGUACAUCUACUAUGAGAAUGAAUUGCUGAAUGAUGUUGUAAGAAUAAUAAGAAGUGCCUCUACCUAAGUAAAACUACAAAGCAACGUUUUAAGAAUGGUAACAACCCGGGACUAACCAUACUCUUGUCGUUGCUCCGUCACAGACAAGAACUUAAUCAGGAAUGUUGUAGCAGCUUCUCCUGUACCUGCAGUUUCUCACGAUAAUCAGCUCACAAUAGUCCUUAUGCCAAAGAGGCAUGUGUGGAGGUGCCAUAUUCUGGUCUCCUACAACAUUCAGUAAUGGUCAAGAUGGGUUGAUGCAGGAAACAGAUGGAGGGGCAGAAGUUGAUACUCAUCUCAUUAGAUCCAAAGAAGCCAAAUGGUGGCCAUCACCUGUGACAUGAAGAGGGUAUAUUUUAUGGAACUGGACAGCUUUCAGAAUCACAAGCAACCUCUUCAAAAUGUGAUCUACUGAAACGUGCUUGAAAGAGAGAAUAGGAGUGAGGCGGGCAAAGGAAGCAGAAGCCAUUGUGAACUGCCCUAGAGAAACCUUGGGCAUCUUUUUGUUGGGCAAAGUGGUAGAGGCUGAAACGGGGAAUAGCAUGUAACAUUUUAUUUGACUGAAAUAAACAGCUGUUUGUUUUUUUUUUCUUUCAUAUGUAAGAUAGACAAAAGGUGUUUGACAGAUAAGGAUUGGGGCAAUGUUGGUAUGAGUUCAGCUUUUUAGUUUGUUCUUUAAAAGUGGCCAUCAAGAUGUGGGUGUAAGGUAUUUCACAGUGAUUUGC
rnacentral:lncRNA from 1 species